rnacentral:lncRNA from 1 species
GUUCUCCCUCAGGAGCCAGAGCUAAGCCCUAAAUAAUCUUCAGCAUGAGUGUGAACCAUCUGAAAAGCCACUAAGUAGAUUCCAUGUCUUUUUUCACCCAAGAAAAGCAUGGUCUAGUUUAACUUCAGGCCUAAAAGGCAAAAAAUAAGUGGGUUACAGUUCACCACCUUACAGCACAUUAAAGUUAGACUUCUAGGUUCCUCUUGAUUCUCCCCAAUAAAGUUGUAACUUACGAGAUUUGCAGUGAAGAAACUGCGGAAGUCAGUCUUCCUGGUUUUACAUCUCUGGUAUCACAAUGUUGCCCCAGACAAACUAUGGAGACUAAGCCUCAGCCAACCUGUGUCUACAUGGAGAUGAGAGUCAUACAUACCUUGUCGUGUUGUUAUGAGGGGUAAAUAAGAUCCUGCAUGUAAAAAAGCAUUUAACAUGGAGUCUGGCAUAUGGCAGGAGCUCGAUAAAUCCCAGCCAUUAUUAUUACCAUAAUAUCUCUGUGCAUAAAUCUAUCUGCAACUCUGAUUGUUUUCUUAGGACAGAUGCCAGAGGGUAAAAUCACUGUAUCAAUGGGUGGCUCUUCAUACAUAAUGCGUAAUUAUCCCCCAGAAAUUGUCAAGCAGUUUAUACAUCCAACCCAGAAUCGGCAAGGGAAAUGCAACCACAGGUGAGGCGAAGAAAAACGUCUCAACGGCCAACGCAAGCAGCAAGCAGAGCCUUCAUCCAGUAGCUGAUGGAAGCAGAAGCAGACACCCACAGCUAAACACUGAGCUGAACUCCUGGAAUCGAAUUGCAGAGAGGGAGGAAUGUUACAGAACACAGAUCAGAAUGCUGGGAACCAAGAAUUGGGAAAUUGACU